GAGCUCACCAAAAGAUCGUCAGGGACCAGACCAGCAUGUGCCUGGAGCUCGUGUUUUAUUCAUCUUCGUGUUCCCGUGAAUUAUACAGUGCAAAAACUGCUUAGAAGGCUUCCCCUCCUAGACAGCCCAACAGCACCUCAACCUCAGCCGGAAUGAAACUGAAUGUGUUACUGCGCACCCAAACAGAGCUUCUCUUCCUGCUUUCUCUCUCCUGG
rnacentral:lncRNA from 1 species